rnacentral:rRNA from 1 species
UACGGGGGGGGCAAGCGUUGCUCGGAAUCACUGGGCGUAAAGCGCACGUAGGCGGAUUGCUAAGUCAGGGGUGAAAUCCUGGAGCUCAACUCCAGAACUGCCUUUGAUACUGGCGAUCUUGAGUCCGGGAGAGGUGAGUGGAACUCCGAGUGUAGAGGUGAAAUUCGUAGAUAUUCGGAAGAACACCAGUGGCGAAGGCGGCUCACUGGCCCGGUACUGACGCUGAUGUGCGAAAGCGUGGGGAGCAAACAGG